rnacentral:lncRNA from 1 species
GUUCCGAGGAGAGAAUUCAGCGGUGCAGCAUCCUCUCCGAGCUCUAUGAGUUAAUCGGCUGCCACUGCAAGUCCGCCUUCUUCAAGCGGGUGGCCCCCGUGCAGCGCUCGGCCCACCGGUAACUCGGAACCUGGCGGGAAGGCCUCCUCCCGACUCCUUCUGCAGACGCUUCCUGGCUACAGUCUGUCGCUGGAUCUGCAGGACUUCAGCAAUGUUUAUGAAGGUUUUCCAUGAGAUAUAUUGCUCAGCCUUUUCCUGAAUGAAGGAUUGAAUUUUCCACAGGAAAUCUUAUGAAAGAGUGACAAGGCACAUGGGUUUCCCAAAAAGCAAUAGUUGAUGUAAUAAACUCUCACAUUGGUGAACUUUUUUAA